rnacentral:rRNA from 1 species
UGGGGGAAUUUUGGACAAUGGGGGAAACCCUGACCCAGCAACGCCGCGUGAAGGAUGAAGUAUUUCGGUAUGUAAACUUCGAAAGAAUAGGAAGAAUAAAUGACGGUACUAUUUAUAAGGUCCGGCUAACUACGUGCCAGCAGCCGCGGUAAUACGUAGGGACCAAGCGUUGUUCGGAUUUACUGGGCGUAAAGGGCGCGUAGGCGGCAUGACAAGUCACUUGUGAAAUCUCUGGGCUUAACCCAGAACGGCCAAGUGAUACUGUCGCGCUAGAGUGCAGAAGGGGCAAUCGGAAUUCUUGGUGUAGCGGUGAAAUGCGUAGAUAUCAAGAGGAACACCUGAGGUGAAGACGGGUUGCUGGGCUGACACUGACGCUGAGGCGCGAAAGCCAGGGGAGCAAACGGGAUUAGAUACCCCCGUAGUCCCUGAGCGGGCUGGCAAGGCGCAU